UACGAAGGGGGCUAGCGUUGUUCGGAAUUACUGGGCGUAAGGCGCACGUAGGCGGAUUGUUAAGUCGGGGGUGAAAUCCUGGAGCUCAACUUCAGAAUUGCCUUCGAUACUGGCUUUCUAGAGGCUGGAAGAGGUUAGUGGAAUUCCCAGUGUAGAGGUGAAAUUCGUAGAUAUUGGGAAGAACACAGUGGCGAAGGCGGCUAACUGGUCCAGAUCUGACGCUGAGGUGCGAAAGCGUGGGGAGCAAACAGG
rnacentral:rRNA from 1 species